ensembl:snRNA U6 U6 spliceosomal RNA
GUGCUUUGGCAGCACACAUACUAAAAUUGGAACGAUGCAGAGAAUAUUAGCACAGCCCCUGUGCAAGGAUGACACGCAAAUUUGUGAAGUGUUCCAUAGUUUU